UACGUAGGGGGCAAGCGUUGUCCGGAAUCAUUGGGCGUAAAGCGCGUGUAGGCGGUUCGAUAAGUCUGCUGUGAAAGUCGGGGGCUCAACCCUCGGAUGCCGGUGGAUACUGUCGGGCUAGAGUGCGGAAGAGGCGAGUGGAAUUCCUGGUGUAGCGGUGAAAUGCGCAGAUAUCAGGAGGAACACCAAUUGCGAAGGCAGCUCGCUGGGACGUUACUGACGCUGAGACGCGAAAGCGUGGGGAGCAAACAGG
rnacentral:rRNA from 1 species